rnacentral:lncRNA from 1 species
GGUCCACUGGCAGAAGGUCAGCAGAGGCUGAAGCCAGAACUGGUACGUGGACAUCCAAGCUUACAGAACCAGUCCUAAGGAGGCUUUUUGUCUUUGUGAACUCGGACUCCUGAGUGAGGGGACGUGUGAUGGAAGACAGACAGAAAGGCAAGAGCGAAUGUGCCCACCACUUUGCUUUAGUGGACUGUCGAAAGAGAAUGAUGGUCUUGACCACUCUACCCUCCCAGUGCACUUCCAGCACAGCAUGGACAGGGGUCCCCAGGUCCCAAGCAACUGCUAGAUUCUGCAGAGGGUACCAGUGGGGGCCCUCUAACCAAGAUAAAGUCAGCCCCACAGGGCUCAUAUACCAAGGCUGCCUCACCUCCAGGCACUUCUGAGGACCAGGCGGUUAUGUAGCUCAGGGUCAGCAUUCUGCUCAAGUCCACCAGUUCAUGGAGAUGGGCUAUAGUGGGGGGAAAGUCACAAAGAAGAGGAGAGAUGAGCAGAGUGAACUGUGGGAGAGGAGACAGAUGUUGCUACAUAUCCUCAGUACCUCCGUGACAUCUGCUGUCUGGAAACGCUCCCAUCCCUGGCCUUUCAGCUCACUGUGGCACAUGGCUGAUCAAGUCACAAGUCCACCUGACCUUCAGCAGUGUCCCCUCCCCAGAGGUAGGGGAGCAGGGGCUCGAGCUUCGGGAUUUUCAGAGACCAGAUCCAUCCUGCAGUUACCUCAGACCUGCCAGCCCAUGAGGAUUUGCUGGUUUGCUGAAGCUGUCAGACAGAUUCCAGCGAGCUCCUGGGCAGGAGAGACGCGGGAUGCAGAUACAGUCUAUUCCAGAGCCCAGUGAGGACCUCAGCAGCUCUAUCCACAGGACAAAAAGAGCUCUAGUUUUAACAAGGAUUCUAGGAGAGUUUGGAACUUCCAAGCCAGAAGCUUAACCUGCUCCACGGAAAGGCGCACGAGUGGCAGGGAGUCAGGAAAAGCUGCCUCAGUAAUGGCCUUGCUACAGAUGUUCUUUUCUCUGCUAAAUAAAAACCAACAAACACAGCAACACUCGGGGGAACAGCUUUAAAGAACCACACCAAGCCCUUCCUCUGUAAUCGGGACUCCGGGUGCUGCAGUUUUAGGUCAAAUCUGAAUCGGAUAACAUUAGAAGUAGCAGACAGGCCAUCUCAGUCUUUAUGGCUGCCUUGUCUGGCCUCAGUGGGAAAGGAUGCACCUAAUCAGAUUGAGACUUGAUGUGCCAGAGUGGGGAGAUAGGGGACGCCCUCUCAGAGGAAAAGGGGAGGAGGGAUAGGGAUAGGGACUCUGUGAGGGGGAGCAACCU